rnacentral:tRNA from 1 species
GCCCUGGUGGCGCAACAGUUAAGUGUUUGGCUGCUAACCAAAAGGUUGGCAGUUCGAACCUGCCCAGUGGCU